UAGGGAAUCUUCCACAAUGGACGCAAGUCUGAUGGAGCAACGCCGCGUGAGUGAAGAAGGUUUUCGGACCGUAAAGCUCUGUUGUUGGUGAAGAAGGAUAGAGGUAGUAACUGGCCUUUAUUUGACGGUAAUCAACCAGAAAGUCACGGCUAACUACGUGCCAGCAGCCGCGGUAAUACGUAGGUGGCAAGCGUUGUCCGGAUUUAUUGGGCGUAAAGCGAGCGCAGGCGGAAGAAUAAGUCUGAUGUGAAAGCCCUCGGCUUAACCGAGGAAUUGCAUCGGAAACUGUUUUUCUUGAGUGCAGAAGAGGAGAGUAGAACUCCAUGUGUAGCGGUGGAAUGCGUAGAUAUAUGGAAGAAUACCAGUGGCGAAGGCGGCUCUCUGGCCUGCAACUGACGCUGAGGCUCGAAAGCAUGGGUAGCGAACAGGAUUAGAUACCCUGGUAGUCCAUGCCGUAAACGAUGAGUGCUAAGUGUUGGGAGGCUUCCGCCUCUCAGUGCUGCAGCUAACGCAUUAAGCACUCCGCCUGGGGGAGUACGACCGCAAGGUUGAAAC
rnacentral:rRNA from 1 species